rnacentral:rRNA from 1 species
ACGGGUGCGUAACGCGUGGGAAUCUGCCCUUGGGUUCGGGAUAACAGUUGGAAACGACUGCUAAUACCGGAUGAUGACUUCGGUCCAAAGAUUUAUCGCCCAGGGAUGAGCCCGCGUAGGAUUAGCUAGUUGGUGAGGUAAAGGCUCACCAAGGCGACGAUCCUUAGCUGGUCUGAGAGGAUGAUCAGCCACACUGGGACUGAGACACGGCCCAGACUCCUACGGGAGGCAGCAGUGGGGAAUAUUGGACAAUGGGCGAAAGCCUGAUCCAGCAAUGCCGCGUGAGUGAUGAAGGCCUUAGGGUUGUAAAGCUCUUUUACCCGGGAUGAUAAUGACAGUACCGGGAGAAUAAGCCCCGGCUAACUCCGUGCCAGCAGCCGCGGUAAUACGGAGGGGGCUAGCGUUGUUCGGAAUUACUGGGCGUAAAGCGCACGUAGGCGGCUUUGUAAGUUAGAGGUGAAAGCCCAGGGCUCAACCCUGGAAUUGCCUUUAAGACUGCAUCGCUAGAAUUGUGGAGAGGUAAGUGGAAUUCCGAGUGUAGAGGUGAAAUUCGUAGA